CCCCCCGAAAAAAUUUUAAAAUUUGCAUGGGGCUCUGAAACAGCAUUUAAUGCGUUCUGGCGUCACUUUUAAAAUUAAUUUAAUGAUUAGAAAAUGCAUGUUUUUGAGUGAAUUUUUUACUAAUACGCGACUCAAACAAUUAAUUGAACCUUUUCCGAAGCGUAUUUAUAGCUAGUGCCUAUUGUUAAAAAAAUAAGACCCGCUAAUUGCUGACACAUCGAUUUUGAGUAUACACGCUUUCAAUCCAACUCUAACGACAAACUAAAAACCAAACUGCAAGAGCGUGAAAGCUUCGCAAUCAUUUCCUGAUUCUCAAUCGCCAAAGCAAUGAUCAGUGGGUCUAAAUACGCUCGGU